rnacentral:rRNA from 1 species
GGAAGGUCCGGGCGUUAUCCGGAUUUAUUGGGUUUAAAGGGAGCGUAGGCCGGAGAUUAAGCGUGUUGUGAAAUGUAGAUGCUCAACGUCUGCACUGCAGCGCGAACUGGUUUCCUUGAGUACGCACAAAGUGGGCGGAAUUCGUGGUGUAGCGGUGAAAUGCUUAGAUAUCACGAAGAACUCCGAUUGCGAAGGCAGCUCACUGGAGCGCAACUGACGCUGAAGCUCGAAAGUGCGGGUAUCGAACAGGAUUAGAUACCCUGGUAGUCCGCACGGUAAACGAUGGAUGCCCGCUGUUGGUCUGAAUAGGUCAGCGGCCAAGCGAAAGCAUUAAGCAUCCCACCUGGGGAGU